GUCUAUGGCCAUGCUACCCUGAACAAGCCCGAUCCCGUCUGAUCUCGGAAGCUAAGCAGGGUUGGGCCUAGUUAGAACUUGGAUGGGAGACCACCUAGGAAGACCAGGUGCUGUAGGCG
rnacentral:rRNA from 1 species